rfam:Ovis aries breed Texel chromosome 6, whole genome shotgun sequence.
UCCCUGGUGGUCCAGUGGUUAGGACCUAGCCUUUUCACUGCUGAGGGCCUGGGUAUGAUCCCUCGUUGGGGAA